CUUCCCUCUGGCGGCGUGCCUAAUACAUGCAAGUCGCGCGAACGGACGAGAAGCUUGCUUUUCUGAUGUUAGCGGCGGACGGGUGAGUAACACGUGGAUAACCUACCUAUAAGACUGGGAUAACUUCGGGAAACCGGAGCUAAUACCGGAUAAUAUUUUGAACCGCAUGGUUCAAAAGUGAAAGACGGUCUUGCUGUCACUUAUAGAUGGAUCCGCGCUGCAUUAGCUAGUUGGUAAGGUAACGGCUUACCAAGGCAACGAUGCAUAGCCGACCUGAGAGGGUGAUCGGCCACACUGGAACUGAGACACGGUCCAGACUCCUACGGGAGGCAGCAGUAGGGAAUCUUCCGCAAUGGGCGAAAGCCUGACGGAGCAACGCCGCGUGAGUGAUGAAGGUCUUCGGAUCGUAAAACUCUGUUAUUAGGGAAGAACAUAUGUGUAAGUAACUGUGCACAUCUUGACGGUACCUAAUCAGAAAGCCACGGCUAACUACGUG
rnacentral:rRNA from 1 species